rnacentral:rRNA from 1 species
AUUGAACGCUGGCGGAAUGCUUUACACAUGCAAGUCGAGCGGCAGCGCGGCCUUCGGGCUGGCGGCGAGCGGCGAACGGGUGAGUAAUGCAUCGGAACAUGCCCAGUCGUGGGGGAUAACACUUCGAAAGAAGUGCUAAUACCGCAUACGUCCUGAGGGGGAAAGCGGGGGAUCGCAAGACCUCGCGCGAUUGGAGUGGCCGAUGUCAGAUUAGCUAGUUGGUGGGGUAAAGGCCUACCAAGGCGACGAUCUGUGGCUGGUCUGAGAGGAUGAUCAGCCACACUGGGACUGAGACACGGCCCAGACUCCUACGGGAGGCAGCAGUGGGGAAUUAUGGACAAUGGGGGCAACCCUGAUCCAGCCAUUCCGCGUGAGUGAAGAAGGCCUUCGGGUUGUAAAGCUCUUUCGGCAGGAACGAAACGGUGGGCUCUAACAUAGUCCGCUAAUGACGGUACCUGAAGAAGAAGCACCGGCUAACUACGU